GUCCCCAUCGUCUAGUCUGGUCUAGGACACGAGAUUUUCAUUCUCGCGACUCCGGUUCAAAUCCGGAUGGGGACG
rnacentral:tRNA from 1 species